rnacentral:tRNA from 1 species
UCCACUGCUUAGUUGGUAAAGAAUAAAGCUCUUAACCUUAUGGACGUGGGUUCAAGCCCCAUGGUGGAG